UACGGAGGGGGCUAGCGUUGUUCGGAAUUACUGGGCGUAAAGCGCGCGUAGGCGGACCUGCAAGUCGGGGGUGAAAGCCCGAGGCUCAACCUCGGAACUGCCUUUGAUACUGGCAAGCUUGGAGUCCGGGAGAGGUGAGUGGAACUGCGAGUGUAGAGGUGAAAUUCGUAGAUAGUCGCAAGAACACCAGUGGCGAAGGCGGCUCACUGGCCCGGUACUGACGCUGAGGUGCGAAAGCGUGGGGAGCAAACAGG
rnacentral:rRNA from 1 species